rnacentral:tRNA from 1 species
GGGGCUGUAGCUCAGCUGGGAGAGCGCCUGCAUGGCAUGCAGGAGGUCGACGGUUCGAUCCCGUUCAGCUCCACCA